AGGUGAUGAGUGGCCAUAGGUCUGUGUCACUUGAUUCAAGUGCUGAUAGCUGGGACUGAAGAUGGCUGCAUAUCUACUGGGGAAUGUUCUGCUAUUCUGAGAAUACUUGGAACUCCGAUGCCCUGAAGUCGUAGCUGGUUAUUAUGGGGGCGUCUGUUCUCUUUAGACAGCCUCUUCAUAUUGUUACGUAUCACAGCCUGCAUGAUUCAUGUGUCAGAAAUAACUUGUAAAAUAAACAUUUGGUUCUAUCAGUGUCUGCAUAAUGGGAACUGAUAUGCUCACAAGUUUGUAUUACCGUGUUCCUCUUAUGAAAGCUGCAGUACUUUGGUUUAUGAUAUGAACAUGUUUCUGAUGUGUUUAACUGGAAAUAAGGAUCAGUUGACACUGCUCAAGUGAUUAAAAAAAUUCUAGCAUUUAGUCCUACUUUGUGUUCAGAGCUUAAAGCAGUUUAGAUUAACUAGUUAUGCUUGUAUUUCAAUGUGUCCCGUUAGACAUCCUAAGGCAGGGUGAAUCCUUUCUUGGGGUAGGCUUUGGGUCAGUGCAGUGCUGCUUGGGUAAACGUGCUGAAAACAGAGCCUGUCUUUGGGAAUAAACCUGUAAUGGAACCAUGCAUCUCACCCCAGCCCUGGUGGGUUUCUUCUUGACGUCAGUAAAGGCAACGGAUGAGUAGCUUCACUUGAAUCAACUUGUGUUCAAGAUCAGCCUUAAAGUGUCUUAUAUAUAGAUCAGGGGUGUCAAACCUAGUCCUGGGGGGCCGGAGCCCGGCACAAUUUUGGGUUUUCCCUCAUUUAUCCCACCUGAAUCAACGCUUUGUGCUAAUUACCGCACAGCUGUUGAGCUGAAUCAUUUGUGGUGGAACAGGGAAAGAACUAAGCUACACAGGGCUCCGCCCCCCCCCAGGACUGGAGUUGGACACCCUUGGUAUAGAUGGUUGAAGUUUCAAAAGAAAAAAUCGGGCCUUCUGGUUGUGGUUUAACAUCUUGACAUUGGAAUGAAGUAAUAUAACAAAAACUAACAUUGUGUAACUUUUCUUGCAAAUAUGUUAAGCAUAUAAUACAGAAUCAGUCCCUGGA